rnacentral:rRNA from 1 species
AUUGAACGCUGGCGGCAGGCCUAACACAUGCAAGUCGAGCGGCAGCGGGACCUUCGGGUUGCCGGCGAGCGGCGGACGGGUGAGUAAUGCCUAGGAAUCUGCCUGUUAGUGGGGGAUAACGCGGGGAAACUCGCGCUAAUACCGCAUACGUCCUACGGGAGAAAGCGGGGGCUCUUCGGACCUCGCGCUAACAGAUGAGCCUAGGUCGGAUUAGCUAGUUGGUGGGGUAAUGGCCCACCAAGGCGACGAUCCGUAACUGGUCUGAGAGGAUGAUCAGUCACACUGGAACUGAGACACGGUCCAGACUCCUACGGGAGGCAGCAGUGGGGAAUAUUGGACAAUGGGCGAAAGCCUGAUCCAGCCAUGCCGCGUGUGUGAAGAAGGUCUUCGGAUUGUAAAGCACUUUAAGUCGGGAGGAAGGGCUGUAGGCUAAUACCUUGCAGUUUUGACGUUACCGACAGAAUAAGCACCGGCUAACUUCGUGCCAGCAGCCGCCGUAA